AUGGUUCGUUCUGGUGCUCAUGCUUCCCAGCGUAUUCGCUCCACAUCGUUGGGUUCCUCUUCCUCGGUGGGUUCCUCUUUGCCGGUUGGUGCUGUUGAUGGGAGAUUUCUUGUACAAGAUUCGAGUGCUGAUGAGGCGCGGCUGCGACGCCAGGCACGGCAAGAUAUCCGUCGUGGGAAGCGUCCUGUAGAUUCAUCGUUUGUUGGAAGGAACGUUCGGCCUGUACUUGAAGAGCUGGUUGAUCCUUGUCUUCUUGCUGUUAGAGCUGCGUCUGACAUGGAAGUUUUGUGUCGUCCGCAUUGUUGA
rnacentral:rRNA from 1 species